GUGGGGAAUAUUGGACAAUGGGCGAAAGCCUGAUCCAGCCAUGCCGCGUGUGUGAAGAAGGUCUUCGGAUUGUAAAGCACUUUAAGUUGGGAGGAAGGGCAGUAAGUUAAUACCUUGCUGUUUUGACGUUACCGACAGAAUAAGCACCGGCUAACUUCGUGCCAGCAGCCGCGGUAAUACGAAGGGUGCAAGCGCUAAUCGGAAUUACUGGGCGUAAAGCGCGCGUAGGUGGUUUUGUAAGUUGGAGGUGAAAUCCCCGGGCUCAACCUGGGAACUGCCUCCAAAACUGCAUGACUAGAGUACGGUAGAGGGUAGUGGAAUUUCCUGUGUAGCGGAGAAAUGCGUAGAUAUAGGAAGGAACACCAGUGGCGAAGGCGACUACCUGGACUGAUACUGACACUGAGGUGCGAAAGCGUGGGGAGCAAACAGGAUUAGAAACCCGGGUAGUCC
rnacentral:rRNA from 1 species